rnacentral:rRNA from 1 species
GAUGAACGCUGGCGGCGUGCCUAAUACAUGCAAGUCGAGCGAACAGACGAGGAGCUUGCUCCUCUGACGUUAGCGGCGGACGGGUGAGUAACACGUGGAUAACCUACCUAUAAGACUGGGAUAACUUCGGGAAACCGGAGCUAAUACCGGAUAAUAUAUUGAACCGCAUGGUUCAAUAGUGAAAGACGGUUUUGCUGUCACUUAUAGAUGGAUCCGCGCCGCAUUAGCUAGUUGGUAAGGUAACGGCUUACCAAGGCAACGAUGCGUAGCCGACCUGGGAGGGUGAUCGGCCACACUGGAACUGAGACACGGUCCAGACUCCUACGGGAGGCAGCAGUAGGGAAUCUUCCGCAAUGGGCGAAAGCCUGACGGAGCAACGCCGCGUGAGUGAUGAAGGUCUUCGGAUCGUAAAACUCUGUUAUUAGGGAAGAACAAAUGUGUAAGUAACUAUGCACGCCUUGACGGUACCUAAUCAGAAAGCCACGGCUAACUACGUG